rnacentral:rRNA from 1 species
GAUGAACGCUGGUGGCGUGCCUAACACACGCAAGUCGAGCGAUUCUCUUCGGAGAAGAGCGGCGGACGGGUGAGUAACGCGUGGGUAACCUGCCCUGUACACACGGAUAACAUACCGAAAGGUAUGCUAAUACGAGAUAACAUGCUUUUAUCGCAUGGUAGAAGUAUCAAAGCUUUUGCGGUACAGGAUGGACCCGCGUCUGAUUAGCUAGUUGGUGAGGUAACGGCUCACCAAGGCGACGAUCAGUAGCCGACCUGAGAGGGUGAUCGGCCACAUUGGAACUGAGACACGGUCCAAACUCCUACGGGAGGCAGCAGUGGGGAAUAUUGCACAAUGGGCGAAAGCCUGAUGCAGCAACGCCGCGUGAGCGAUGAAGGCCUUCGGGUCGUAAAGCUCUGUCCUCAAGGAAGAUAAUGACGGUACUUGAGGAGGAAGCCCCGGCUAACUACGUG